rnacentral:rRNA from 1 species
UACAGAGGGGGCAAGCGUUGUUCGGAAUUACUGGGCGUAAAGGGCGCGUAGGUGGCCUUCUAAGUUGAACGUGAAAUCCCUGGGCUCAACCCAGGAACUGCGUCCAAGACUGGGAGGCUUGAAUCCGGGAGAGGGAUGCGGAAUUCCAGGUGUAGCGGUGAAAUGCGUAGAGAUCCGGAGGAACACCAGCGGCGAAGGCGGCAUCCUGGACUGGUCCUGACACUCAGGAGCGAAAGCGUGGGGAGCGAUCCGG